UCAUGAAUUUGGUGAUUAUGAUAACAUAAGGGAAAAAAAUGAUGUUACCUUAUUAUUAGUGUUGUCCAAAACUGGUGCCAGAAGACUCGGUAAGACCAGAGACGCAAACGUUAGUCAUCUUAAUCAGGCGUAAAGGGUGUGUAGGCUGCUUUAAAAGUUUAUUUUUUUUAAUAGCUCUGUAACCGUAAUACUCUCUAAUUUGGGUAGUAUAUAAAUUUUAUAAUGAAAUAAAUGAUAUUUAAAAUAUAUCCGUGUAUCAGAAAAAAAAAUAAAUGAAUAAAAGCUAGAAUCAAAUUGAGGAUAAUACAAAGAAUACUUAGAGUAGGGGUUAAAUCCGCAAAUACUAAGGGGAAUACUAAUGGUGAAGACAUUUUUCUACUAUUGAUUGACGCUGAGAAACGAAGGUGAGAAUAGGAAAUAGGAUUUGAUACCCAGAUACCUCCCACUGUCAACGAUGAAUGGUGGUUGUUAGUUUUAGUAGAAACUGGCAACGAUGUUAACACGAUAACCAUUCCGCCUUGCGAGUACGGUUGCAAAACUGAAACCAAAAAAA
rnacentral:rRNA from 1 species